rnacentral:tRNA from 1 species
GCUCUAAUAGCUUAACAACAAAGCAUUGUUCUUGUAAGCCAAAGUCGGGCAGACCCCCUUAGAGCA